UGAGUUGUAGUUUAAUUUAGGCAAAACACCAUUUUUUGGGAAUGGAUAAUACCAGUUCGAAUCUGAUUGACUCAU
rnacentral:tRNA from 1 species